CGCUUUCCCCGCCCGCCCUAUGUAGGGAGCGUGUGUGGGGAUUGGAGCGCGCCCGCAGUGUUGUUAGCCUGAGUUUUAAACCGGGUUUAUUAGAUUUACACUGAGAUCGGACUGUCUGGAAAGCGCACUCCUCAGAAACCACAGAUGGAGCCAUGAGGCCACGCCCCUUCUCCACUGCUGCUGCCACUCACAGCCGCGUCCAGCCUGGAAACACCAUGAACUGUAACUCCGCCCUCCGGCAGCUAUGACUCCGUCAUCCUCCCGUCCAGAAAACGACCGGACUGCAGAGCAUCACCUGCUUCCCCACCAGCCUCAGGACCCUCGUCCCCACCAGCCUCAGGACCCUCGUCCCCACCAGCCUCAGGACCCUCGUCCCCACCAGCCUCAGGACCCUCGUCCCCGAAACUGAGGACAUCCAGCUGAUCAGAGACCUGCUGCAGCGGGACCCCGAGAAACCACCAGCCGCCCGCCAGGUGGUGUCGGGUUCAUCACUGUUUGAAGUGUUGAUGGAAGGUACAGAAUGAAUAACACUGUAUGCGGGUUUGUUCCUGAAGGUCGGCUGUGAUUGGCUGUUUCAGAGCUGAAGUUCUUACUGUUCGCCGGUUCCCCCAGGGCUCCGUCCGCUGCCGUUCACUCUGCUGACUCGAACCACGUGAUCAAGCAGGGGGUUUUGCUGAACUUUUCCAGUGCGUCGGAUGCGUUUUUAGACUGUAAGCGUAUAUAUUACAUUAUUGAGACUAUUACAAUAAUUUUCUUCAACUGGAACUCAACUUGCUUAUUGAGAAAACGUAUAUCGAUGACAUGAUUACUUUCUCAAGUACUCAACGUCAACUUAUAAUAAUACAGAAGAGGAGUUAUAUAGACAAACAAUAGACUUUCAUUAAUAUAUUACUGUCUUGAUUACUAAAUUGCACUACAUUAAUUCUUGAUAGAUAACUUCCUCAAUUUCUCAUGUCAUUCUUAAUAUAUUACUUUAAUUACUCCACUUCAUUCUUAAUUACACUUCAUUCUAGAUAUAUUACUUUCUUUAUUACACUUCAUUCUGAAGAGCAAAACCAAAACUUGAUAGCUGAAAUAAAGCAGGAAUUGCACUUAUCAAUAACCAAACGAAAGUCUCCAGGGGUUUGUUUGGAGAAUGCUAAAAUUUAGAUAUACAGAGAUGGAAUAGCGUGUCUUAUUUAGCUCUACAGUCGAGAGUGGAGGAGAUUAAAAUGAAGAUGUUGAACUUUACCACUGGAGGUUCCCUCACGUUUGAUGAAUGGAAAAAGUUCAUAUCAAGAUUUUUGUGGAAAAGGAAAAAACCUAGAAUCAUAUUCAAAACACUGAUACUGAGAAAAGACAGAGGACUGAAAAUAUUACCAUGCAGCUCAAUUAAGAUAAAUAGUUUAUUGCAAUGGAAAUCAAUCCAUUAACCAACCAGACAAUCAACCAACCAACCUUUAUUUCCACUCAGUAAAUACAUUAAGAGUGAUCCUCGUUUUCAAUGCAGCCAAGCAUACACAACAUUAAAGGGACUGAAAAUUAAAUAUAAAUGAUAAAAACAAGCAAACAAUGUAAGAUUUACAUAAGAAAAAUAAAGUAAUUAAACAAAAGUAACCACAAUUAAAAAAGUAAAUAAUGGAACUAAAAUAAUAUGAAUAAAAUAAAAAGGUAAAAGGCCAAAUGUAAAAGCAGUAACAAAACAAAUAAAAGGAUAAAAUGAAUAAAAUAAAAUUAGAUAAAUAAAAAGACAAAACAAUUAAAAUAAGUAAAAAGGUAAAAUAAAAAACUCAACUAAAACAGGUACAGGUGGUUAGAUAAUAAAAGUUUAAAACGAUUUAGUGACACAGUGAGUUUUAGUGUUUCCUGUACCUUUAUGCAGAGGAAUAACAUUAGCUGUCAGAUAAAAUGGAAAGGUUAAAAAUAUACAUAAUUUGCUCUAAAAUAACAGAGGUUACAAGUAGAGAUCCAGACCAUCCGCACCUGUAAUUUUAUCACGGUUAAUAAUUAAUCACAUGCAUGUUUAUGUUUAUGUAGAGCUGGUAGAGAGGAGGACAGAUGAGGAACGAGUCUCAUAUGCUUCUAUCUAUCUAUAAAUUAUUGCAAUCUAUCAGAAUGGUCAAAAUAAUAUGAAAAAUCUAACCAAUAAGGUGUGGGAGUCAUUAUCAUGCACCAUUUGAAGGCGGGACUUCCUUUUCUGAACCAUGGUCACAGGAGCUUAUUUGCUUUAGUAAUAUUUCUAAAAAUUAAAUAAAUUCUAAAUAAAAAUUAUGUGUAUUAAUGUGUCAACAAGCAAUUUGUCAGGUUUUAUGAAAGUUUUUUUAUUUUUUAUGUACAGAAAUUAAGUUUAUCUUUUCGUUGCCUCAGGGCAACGUUGUGCAAUAACGGGCAUUUUUCAGGCAUGUCUUUGCUAACAAUGUGUUUGGAUGUUAUUACAUAUCAUAUUUUGUGCACAAACUGCAAAUAUAGUUGUAUUUAUUUAAUUGUACACUUUUAACACAUUUUGCCAGAGAAAUGGGUACAAGAUUGUUCUAUAGAAGAAAAGACAAAAUACAAAAUUGGGGUGAAGAUA